AAGACUAUAGACCUGCGGAGUACCUGCGGAAGGAUCAUUAUAGAGUUUUCUAAACUCCCAACCCAUGUGAACUUACCUUUUGUUGCCUCGGCAGAAGUUAUAGGUCUUCUUAUAGCUGCUGCCGGUGGACCAUUAAACUCUUGUUAUUUUAUGUAAUCUGAGCGUCUUAUUUUAAUAAGUCAAAACUUUUAACAAUGGAUCUCU
rnacentral:misc_RNA from 1 species